rnacentral:piRNA from 1 species
UCACCCGCGUAAUUCUGUCCUCCCAGGU